rnacentral:rRNA from 1 species
GAUGAACGCUGGCGGCGUGCCUAAUACAUGCAAGUCGAGCGAACAGACGAGAGUGCUUGCACUCUCUGACGUUAGCGGCGGACGGGUGAGUAACACGUGGGUAACCUACCUAUAAGACUGGGAUAACUUCGGGAAACCGGAGCUAAUACCGGAUAAUAUUUAGCUUCGCAUGAAGCAAUAGUGAAAGACGGUUCUGCUGUCACUUAUAGAUGGACCCGCGGUGUAUUAGCUAGUUGGUGAGGUAACGGCUCACCUAGGCAACGAUACAUAGCCGACCUGAGAGGGUGAUCGGCCACACUGGGACUGAGACACGGCCCAGACUCCUACGGGAGGCAGCAGUAGGGAAUCUUCCGCAAUGGACGAAAGUCUGACGGAGCAAUGCCGCGUGAGUGAAGAAGGUUUUCGGAUCGUAAAACUCUGUUGUAAGGGAAGAACAAGUACGUUAGUAACUGAACGUACCUUGACGGUACCUUACCAGAAAGCCACGGCUAACUACGUG